GUUCACUUUAGGUUAUGCAUAUGCUAAAAUUAGAAUAAUAGAGAAAUGAGCAUCAUCCCUUGUACCAGGAAGAAAUGUAAAUUUGUGAAGAAAUUUAUAUUUUU